UACGUAGGGGGCGAGCGUUGUCCGGAUUUAUUGGGCGUAAAAGGCUUGUGGGUGGCCACGUCAAGUCGGAUGUGAAAUCUCCCGGCUCAACUGGGAGGGGUCAUUCGAUACUGGCGGGCUCGAGGCCGGUAGGGGGAAGCGGAAUUCCCGGUGUAGUGGUGGAAUGCGUAGAUAUCGGGAGGAACACCAGUGGCGAAGGCGGCUUCCUGGACCGGUUCUGACACUGAGGAGCGAAAGCGUGGGGAGCGAUCCGG
rnacentral:rRNA from 1 species